UACAGAGGUCUCAAGCGUUGUUCGGAUUCAUUGGGCGUAAAGGGUGCGUAGGCGGCGCGGUAAGUCGGGUGUGAAAUCUCGGAGCUUAACUCCGAAACUGCAUUCGAUACUGCCGUGCUUGAGGACUGGAGAGGAGACUGGAAUUUACGGUGUAGCGGUGAAAUGCGUAGAUAUCGGGAGGAACACCUGUGGCGAAAGCGGCGCACUGGACCAUAACUGACGCUGAGGCGCGAAAGCCAGGGGAGCAAACAGG
rnacentral:rRNA from 1 species